UAACCAUCCAGAGCAGCGAAGAGACUUGGCUCGAUGAAGCUGCAGCAACCCCCGGUUAACGGUGAGGGUGCUUCCGCCAAGAUCGAUGGAGG
rnacentral:ncRNA from 2 species